rnacentral:lncRNA from 10 species
CAUGGAAAGAAGGGGCAUGAUUGGUCAUUGAUCAUGAUGAGCACCUGCUAUUUACAGAGUGAUUUGGGGAAUGAAGACCUAACUAUGAGUAGAGAUGGGAUUUCACUGUGUUAGCCAGGAUGGUCUCGAUCUCCUGACCUCGUGAUCCACCUGCUGCGGCCUCCCAAAGUGCUGGGAUUACAGGCGUGAGCCACCGCGCCCGGCCAGAAAACCAGUUUUAUUGCAAUGGUAUUACACCAGUUUUCAACUAAGAAAUCAGCAGGAAUAGAAACACUGCACACAAAACCUACAAAACCUCCUAUCAACAGGGAAGAGUGAACAAGAAUGUAUCCUGUCUGCACAGGGACAGUCGGCAUGAAAAAUAUAGCAAGUCAAAGGGCUGGCAAGAUGGCUGAAUAGGAACAGCUCUGGUCUGCAGCUCCCAGCAAGAUCAAUGCAGAAGUCUGCCAGUGACCAUCAGGCAUGGGCUCUGAUGGAAGCCUGGUGGUGAUAAGGUCAUCCACAGAUCUCAUUAUGCUGUGAGCUACAGCCGACGUGAUUAUAAAAUUCUGAGGUGGAAUCCUGAGAGACAGGAGGGCUGAGCCAAAACCCUUCAUGGGGUUGUGCUGCAAGGAGUGCCUGCCGU